UCAAAUGUCUGAAAUUUCAAACCCAUUUUCAAGUAAAAGCCUCCAAAAUACAUUCCCGUUUUCAAACUCUCGCGGUUCCCAAUCUCCUUCGAAAUUUCGCCGACGGAAAUGGAGAAGGAUACGAACGGCGACGAAUGUCUAACUCCGAGGAGCUGCGGUUGUAGAAUUCCGGCGCUGUCCAAAUGCCCGCCACCGCCGAAGAAGAAAGCGAUCACCAGCCGGAAGCUGGCCCCUCCGACUAGCGGUUAUUUCCAGCCUCCCGAUCUCGAUGCUCUGUUUUCCAUGCAGCCUUCAUCACGAUGGGAAGCGUGUGCCUAGCUGCAUCACGGCAUGGCAGCCAAAACAGAGGGAUAGGGAGAGGUACCUGUCAGUGUCGCAGUGAGAUGGAUGAUGGUGUUGGUUCUUUUGCUCCAUUAUCGAUGGUGAAGAAAGGAUGGAAAUGGCAGGAAGCCAACCAGACCAUCUGUUUCGAUCGUGUUGAUGAAUAAAAGCAAGUGAAAGGGUUGGGAAAGAGAGGAUUGGCUUUUGAAUUUAUCCUUCCAAGGGGCACCUGGCCGAGGCUAAGGAAGCAUACUGCACAUGAUUACUUCCAAUGCUCUUGUCUCAACUCACUCACUGCUUUGCAACGACGUCUUUUUGGCUGUCGUGGGAUGUGAUGUGCGAAUGGCACGUCUUUUCCUGCCGCCUUUCUGACGGCGUAUGUGGAGUACUCUACAUUACAUAUCCCUUCUUCCUAGUUUCUUAACCUUUUAUAAUUUUAAAGUUUCAAUUAGGUUCUAGGUUCCCUAUAAUUUGUUUUCUGGGUACAGAAAUUUUCGGUGGUAACACAUAUUUGUUCGAUUCGACGGGUCGUUUAAUGAUGUAUUAUUGUAUUCUAGUAGUAGUAUAGUAAAUAGGUUGAGAUACUAUUUUAGAGGUUUGACUUUAGUCAUGUAAUAUGUGGAGUAUAGUCCAAGGCAAGAUCCGGACCUACAAGUAGUUCUAAGUCAUAGGAUACUAUGAAAGUCUACGUGUUCUAAAAAAGAAAGUCAAAGCUUUGAGUCUUGG